rnacentral:rRNA from 1 species
CAGCCUGAGAAACGGCUACCACAUCUACGGAAGGCAGCAGGUGCGCAAAUUACCCAAUUCUGACUCAGAGAGGUAGUGACAAGAAAUAACGAUAUGCGGCCUUCAAGGUUGCCUAAUCGGAAUGAGAACAAUUUAAACGCCUUAUCGAUCACCAAGUGGAGGGCAAGCCUGGUGC